UACGAAGGGGGCUAGCGUUGCUCGGAAUCACUGGGCGUAAAGCGCACGUAGGCGGCUUCUUAAGUCAGGGGUGAAAUCCUGGAGCUCAACUCCAGAACUGCCCUUGAUACUGAGGAGCUCGAGUCCGGAAGAGGUGAGUGGAACUCCGAGUGUAGAGGUGAAAUUCGUAGAUAUUCGGAAGAACACCAGUGGCGAAGGCGGCUCACUGGCUCGGUACUGACGCUGAGGAGCGAAAGCGUGGGGAGCGAACAGG
rnacentral:rRNA from 1 species